GUGCUCACUUUGGUAGCACAUAUACUAAAUUAGAACCACAGACAGAAGAUUUUCAUGGCCCCUGUGCAAAGAUGACACUCAAAUCUGUGAAGCUUUCCAUGUUUUU